rnacentral:rRNA from 1 species
UGGGGAAUUUUGGACAAUGGGCGCAAGCCUGAUCCAGCCAUGCCGCGUGCGGGAAGAAGGCCUUCGGGUUGUAAACCGCUUUUGUCAGGGAAGAAAUCUUCUGAGUUAAUACCUCGGGAGGAUGACGGUACCUGAAGAAUAAGCACCGGCUAACUACGUGCCAGCAGCCGCGGUAAUACGUAGGGUGCAAGCGUUAAUCGGAAUUACUGGGCGUAAAGCGUGCGCAGGCGGUUUUGUAAGACAGAGGUGAAAUCCCCGGGCUCAACCUGGGAACUGCCUUUGUGACUGCAAGGCUUGAGUGCGGCAGAGGGGGAUGGGAUUCCGCGUGUAGCAGUGAGAUGCGUAGAUAUGCGGAGGAA